AGCAGCCGCGGUAAUUCCAGCUCCAAUAGCGUAUAUUAAAGUUGUUGCAGUUAAAAAGCUCGUAGUUGAACUUCAGGCCUGUCCAGAUGGUCCGCCUUAAUUGGUGUGUACUGUCCUUGGGUGGGUCCUACCUUCUGGCGAAGCGGCAUGGCCUUAGUUGGUUGUGUCGGGGAACCAGGACUUUUACUGUGAAAAAAUUAGAGUGUUCAAAGCAGGCAUAAUAUGCUCGAAUACAUUAGCAUGGAAUAAUGGAAUAGGACGAUGGUUCUAUUUUGUUGGUUCUAGGACCGUUGUAAUGAUUAAUAGGGAUAGUUGGGGGCAUUAGUAUUCAAUUGUCAGAGGUGAAAUUCUUGGAUUUAUUGAAGACUAACUACUGCGAAAGCAUUUGCCAAGGAUGUUUUCAUUAAUCAAGAACGAAAGUUAGGGGAUCGAAGACGAUCAGAUACCGUC
rnacentral:rRNA from 1 species